rnacentral:rRNA from 1 species
ACAAGUGAAUUCAUAGCUUGUUGAGGCAAACCGGGAGAACUGAAACAUCUAAGUACCCCGAGGAAAAGAAAUCAACCGAGAUUUCGUCAGUAGCGGCGAGCGAAAGCGAAAGAGCCAGUAAGUGAUAGCAGUAUAGUGAGGAGAAUGUGUUGGGAAGCACAAUCAAAGAGGGUGAUAAUCCCGUAUCUAAAAACCAUAUUGUGGUACUAAGCUAACGAGAAGUAGGGCGGGACACGUGAUAUCCUGUUUGAAGAAGGGGGGACCA